CCCAGCGCCGGGGGCGCGCCGCGGGUGCGGGCGCAGAGGUCCGGGGUUGCUCCCUAGCUACCUGCGAGAUCCGUCGCCCAGUGCUUUCGGGUUCCCCCGACGCCCCUCUGUGGCUGCUCGGGAAGCUGGGUCUUUUUAUAAUUCCGAGUGGCUCCAAGUUUCAGUGAGGGCCUUGUGAACGACCUUGAAGGAAGUUCAGCGGCCUAAACCUCUGGAUUAAGCUCGACCUGGGGGUAGAAAGAGAUUCAACUUUUUUUUUUCUUUAAGAACUAGCAAACAGCCGGAGAGUGGUGGCACAUGCCUUUAAUCCCACUUGGAGGGAGGCAGAUUUCUGAGUUCGAGGCCAGCCUGGUCUACAGAGCAGACAGUGGCAUUUCAUCGAGUCCAAAGGGAGCUGACGAUGCAUCAUUAUAUUUAUGAUGGGCCAAAGCCGCGUCACCACACCCAGUUCAUCCAUUCAUUCUUGGGUUGAGUGAGUACCUGAUGGUGCCUAUGCAUGUGCGUGAAGAUCCGUGGACAACCUUCAGGACUCGCUCAUCCUCGGGUGGGUCCUGCAGAUGGAAAUCAGGUUGUCGGGCACAGCAGCAAGCUCCUUUACUGACAGAGACACCUGGCCAGCCCUGAAGCAGGUUCUUUUGUUUGUUUGGUUGGUUUUUUUGUUUUUGUUUUUCCAAUUUUGUGGAAUUUACCAAUUAAAAAUAAAGCCACUUAAAAUGGUUAAGUCAAA
rnacentral:lncRNA from 7 species